AGAGUUUGAUCCUGGCUCAGAAUCAACGCUGGCGGCGUGCCUAACACAUGCAAGUCGAACGCGAAAACCCCGCAAGGGGUCAGUAGAGUGGCGAACGGGUGAGUAACACGUGGGUGACCUACCUUCGAAUGGGGGAUAACGUCCCGAAAGGGACGCUAAUACCGCAUAACAUCCUGCUUUUGAACAGGUGGAGAUCAAAGCCGGGGAUCGUAAGACCUGGCGUUUGAAGAGGGGCCCGCGUCUGAUUAGCUAGUUGGUGAGGUAACGGCCCACCAAGGCGACGAUCAGUAUCCAGCCUGAGAGGGCGGACGGACACACUGGGACUGAGACACGGCCCAGACUCCUACGGGAGGCAGCAGUGGGGAAUUGUUCGCAAUGGGCGCAAGCCUGACGACGCAACGCCGCGUGGAGGAUGAAGGUCUUCGGAUUGUAAACUCCUGUUGCCCGGGACGAAAAGCUUCGACCUAACACGUCGAAGUCUGACGGUACCGGGUGAGGAAGCCCCGGCUAACUCUGUGCCAGCAGCCGCGGUAAUACAGAGGGGGCAAGCGUUGUUCGGAAUUACUGGGCGUAAAGGGCGCGUAGGCGGCCUGCUAAGUCGAACGUGAAAUCCCCGGGCUCAACCCGGGAACUGCGUCCGAUACUGGCAGGCUUGAAUCCGGGAGAGGGAUGCGGAAUUCCAGGUGUAGCGGUGAAAUGCGUAGAUAUCUGGAGGAACACCGGUGGCGAAGGCGGCAUCCUGGACCGGCAUUGACGCUGAGGCGCGAAAGCCAGGGGAGCAAACGGGAUUAGAUACCCCCGUAGUCC
rnacentral:rRNA from 1 species